UCCCAGCGGCCGCCCGCCUAUAACUAAGCUCUGCCUGAAGUCCUGGCGCUUCCGCCCUGCGGGGAAUUCCCCAACACUCCCCCUGACUUAUCCAAUCAGAGUGAGGUAAAGAGUACGCGCCCCGCCCCCUUACCACACCAUGACCAAUCAGAGUAUUCAGAUGGACCGCGACUCUCUACCCAUUCCCACAUUUUCCGGGCGCCCUUUACCAACAUGGCUGCCGGCGCGGAGCCCUCUGGGACUCGUAGUCCUCCUGUCCGCAAGUCUUUCUAACCUAAGAGCCGCUCCCCGGACGUUGUGUGAAAGCCUGUAUGCAUCCGCGAUGGUUGCUGGGAGUUGUAGUUCUCUGCCAGGUCUCUGCCCCUCCUGUUUCCGGUGCCGUCACGGGACAGAGCAGUCGGUGACAGCACCGAGGGCCCCCGCCCCGCGCCCAUGGCCGAGCCGGACCCCUCUGACCCUCUGGAGACCCAGGCAGGGAAGGUGCAGGAGGCUCAGGUGAGAUUUGGGGAAGGGUGGAGGGAAGGAGAGAGAUGCACUUGUUCCCGCACCCCACACUGGGGGGGGGGGGAGGUGGCAGAGGGGAGACAGUCACCCCAGGGCCCUCAGCUCACUGCCCCAGUCCCUUGCCCCAACUCCCGGUUCAGCCUCCUGGGGAAUGGUGGAUUCUGGGAAUUGUCAGAGAGGGGUGUGCCCCCUUAACUCCAGGCCUGCCCUCCCAAACUUUUCUCUUUCCUUGCCCCCUACCCCUGUCCUUUCUGAACUUCAUUUAUGCUGGGCAUGGAAGAGACAGAUACCCAGUUUGAUCACAGAACUCACAGAUCUCAUGGACAAGUGACUAGAAAAUGACCCUACAGGGUGAUUCUGAAAGUAGCUCAAGGAAGAGUAAACUUCGUGGGGCCACAGGGAUUCCAGCCAGUCCCUUCCCAGGAGGAAUCCACAGGCUGGGCUAGGAGUCAGACUGAGAUACAGACACAUCACAGUGAGCGAAGAGUGACUUAGAAUUUUCUUAGGCAGAGUGAGAAAUGGCACUCCACGCAGAGGAUACAGCUUGUGCAAAGACUGGGGGACACGAAGUGUAUAAUGUGGUCAGCAGUCAGGUGGCUGGGAGUGGUUAGCUUGUUAUAUUCGAGGUUAGCAUUUAUUGAGUCCUUAUUCCAGCCAGGUACUCUGCUCAGGGCUCUGUGUACAUCAUCUCAUGUCGUCUUCCCAGAAUCCCUGGGGGGAGCAAGGCCUAUUGUGGCCAUUUUACAGAUGAGGAGUCCGAGGCAGAGCUGUUAAGCGACUUGUCCUCUGUCCCCCAGCUAGAAGAGCAGGGACUGCUUUGCAACCUACAGCAUCCGGCACGUUGCCUUCCGGACACCUCAGGGAGAGGUAGACAGGACACCUCACAGAGGCUUGAAGGCCCCACCAGCACCUCCGGCUCCCGCUUAGGCCAAGUGGCUCCCACACGCGGGGCAGGGCCCUCGAGUCCUUCCACAGAGCCUCACUGUCCGCUGCUGAAAGAAUGCCAGGCCACCCACAGACGCGAGAUCACUGUUCAGAUGUAGGGCAGCGCCGAAGCUGGAAUGCUUAAAGCCCCUGACAGAUGUGGGGCAGGGCCACGCUGAGGGGGUAAAAGCCUCCUGCCAGGCCAGGGCUUCUCCCUCGCCUGGCUCCUAGGGCUCAACCACUGUCACAGCAAAAGUUUUAAUGUUCAACAGGGAUCCUCAGUCCCAGAAAGAGAGAUCCGAGGAUGUAAAUUGCAGCAUUGUCUGUGACAGGCCAAAAACUGGAAACAGCCCAAAUGCCUGUCAGCAGACGGGUUAAAUGAAGUAUAGUGCGUCCUUACAAUGCAACACUAUGUAGCUUUUUUAAAAGAGGAGCUGGAUCUAUAAUAUAUUGUUCUGCGGAAACCGCGAGGUGCAGCAUCGUACUAUGGUAGGACCCAUUUCUGGAAAAAUAGUGAGUUUUAUAGGCAGAGAAAAAAAUCUAGAGCGAUUGCCAUUCUGCUGUUAAUAGUGGUUAUAUUGACCCGGGGUGGGUGAGGGAACUCGAGGCAAGCGCCUCAAGUCGUACAUUGUCUAAUGGCCAGAGUUUUUGCAAAGCUUAUGUAAUCUUAGAAAGCGAUAAUAAUAAAAAAAAAAAUGUAAAUACGUUUGGAAGGGCAGUUCCUAUUCAAAAAGGCUUGGAACCAGAGCAGAGAAUGAUGGGGGAGGGGCUGGUCGGAGGGGUUUUAAGCAGGAGAAUGGGUUGGUCAGAACUGUGGUUUUUGCGAGGUCCAUUGCAGGACCCAGCCCUGCGCACAGCAGGU
rnacentral:lncRNA from 1 species